UAUCUCUGUAGAGUCUGCAUAUCAAUAGCGGAGGAAAAGAAACUAACUAGGAUUCCCUCAGUAACGGCGAGUGAAGCGGGAAGAGCUCAAAUUUGAAAUCUUCAAGGUUCUACCUUGACGAAUUGUAGUUUAAAGAAGUGUUUUCUGUUGAAGUUUCGGUAAAAGUUCUUUGGAAUAGGACAUCAUAGAGGGUGAGAAUCCCGUAUUUGACCAUUACUUUCCAGCGUUGUGAUACACUUUCAAAGAGUCGGAUUGUUUGGGAAUGCAGUCCAAAAUGGGUGGUAAAUUUCAUCUAAAGCUAAAUAUUGGCGAGAGACCGAUAGCGAACAAGUACCGUGAGGGAAAGAUGAAAAGAACUUUGAAAAGAGAGUUAAACAGUACGUGAAAUUGUCAAAAGGGAAGCGUUUGACACCAGUGUUGUUUUCUCGAAAAUCAAUUAAAAAAAGUUGGAUUUUGUAUUGUUAAGACCUUAUCAGCUUACUGUACUCUUUUCUUGCUUUUUUUAAUGCACUUUUCGUUUAACAAGUCAACAUCAAUUUCUUUUGUUGUAAAAGAGUCAUUGGAAGGUGGCUUUCACUUCGGUGAAAGUGUUUAUAGCCUUUGGCUUCUGCAAUCGGAGAGAUUGAGGUCUGCAGCGUAGAUCCUUCGGGGCUAGAUACGUAGAUGCUAAGUUAUAGUUUUUUAUAGACAACUUGUUGACUAUAAUUAAUCAUGUAGCUUACUCGUUUGCGCUAUUUUACCUACGCUUAGGAUGUUGAUCUGUAGUGCGUGCGC
rnacentral:rRNA from 1 species